CAGAGCAGGCCUCAAAAAUUUGAAGGGAUUUCUGGGACUUGGACUCUUCUCAGCCUGGCAAAUGGCAUGACUUAGAUCUGCUGCAGCCAAAGUGGGAAGCUUGAAGCUGCCAGGAGAGAGGAGGACUUGCAUCAUGUGGUGGCUAAAGAAUGAGUCCAACCCAGAGGCGCAGAGCCAAGAAAUGGGUCCAUGUUCUGAAUCAAAAUCAAAUCCAAGUCCAUGAGCCUGGAUGGCCAAUGAGCCAAGAAAUUCCCUUUAGUGCCUAAGCAUGUCUGAAAUCGUUUUAUUUCACUGGUAACAUUAAACAUCCUAAUGGAUGCACCCUGGUUAGAUUAUAAACUGCAACAGCAAAGACUGUCACUCUCCAUCGCCAUUGUAUCCCCUGGCAUUCAAUAAAUAACUUUAGAAUGGAUGCAUUUCAGCUGAAAGGAACACCUUCUAUAAAUUCCCCUCUGCUCAUUUGACAGCUUAGGAGCCUGGAAUUCUGUUGGAAAGUAAAGAUGUGGAUCUAGAAGCCAGAUCUCACCCAACACAGGCUUUUUUGUAAUCACCAGGAAGUCUCCCAGGAGGCGUGAGGGGGUGUAGAGAAGCCAGGAGUGCUAUGCUGAGCUCCUUUCAGAAAAAA